CUGGCGGCAGGCCUAACACAUGCAAGUCGAGCGCGCCUUCGGGUGAGCGGCGGACGGGUUAGUAACGCGUGGGAACGUGCCCUUCUCUACGGAAUAGCCUCUGGAAACGGAGAGUAAUACCGUAUACGCCCUUUGGGGGAAAGAUUUAUCGGAGAAGGAUCGGCCCGCGUUAGAUUAGGUAGUUGGUGGGGUAACGGCCUACCAAGCCUACGAUCUAUAGCUGGUUUUAGAGGAUGAUCAGCAACACUGGGACUGAGACACGGCCCAGACUCCUACGGGAGGCAGCAGUGGGGAAUCUUAGACAAUGGGGGCAACCCUGAUCUAGCCAUGCCGCGUGAGUGAUGAAGGCCUUAGGGUCGUAAAGCUCUUUCGCCUGUGAUGAUAAUGACAGUAGCAGGUAAAGAAACCCCGGCUAACUCCGUGCCAGCAGCCGCGGUAAUACGGAGGGGGUUAGCGUUGUUCGGAAUUACUGGGCGUAAAGCGCGCGUAGGCGGAUUAGAAAGUUGGGGGUGAAAUCCCGGGGCUCAACCUCGGAACUGCCUCCAAAACUGCUAGUCUAGAGUUCGAGAGAGGUGAGUGGAAUUCCGAGUGUAGAGGUGAAAUUCGUAGAUAUUCGGAGGAACACCAGUGGCGAAGGCGGCUCACUGGCUCGAUACUGACGCUGAGGUGCGAAAGUGUGGGGAGCAAACAGGAUUAGAUACCCUGGUAGUCUACACCGUAAACGAUGAAUGCCAGUCGUCGGGUAGUAUACUAUUCGGUGAC
rnacentral:rRNA from 1 species